AAUACCCUGCGGUGUCCGUGAUGCCAAAUAGCGGUUUUGAGCCAACACCAAACCUUAGGGAGCCGAUUGCCUGAGGGGGAAUGUGUUAGCCCGGAGUGGCAAGACAGGAACCCUCGGUAGGCGCCCACCUGCGAGAGCAGGUUCAAAACUCAUUGGCACACGGCACGGCGGGGGUUUU
rnacentral:other from 1 species